GGUGGCCUUUAUCAAAGUGGCAUCUGCUUCCACAUAGCUGCUGUGAUCAAAAAAAGCCCAGAGGGAAAGUUAUCCUCAACGGUCACUGUUCUGUAACUGAUUCACAACACUGAAAUUGGAAAGGAGGGCU